rnacentral:rRNA from 1 species
CCCUUAGAUGUUCUGGGCUGCACGCGCGCUACACUGAUGCGCUCAACGAGUUUAUGACCUUGCCCGGCAGGGUUGGGUAAUCUUCUUAAAACGCAUCGUGAUGGGGAUAGAUUAUUGCAAUUAUUAAUCUUCAACGAGGAAUUCCUAGUAAGCGCGAGUCAUCAGCUCGUGCUGAUUACGUCCCUGCCCUUUGUACACACCGCCCGUCGCACCUACCGAUUGAAUGGUCCGGUGAAAUCUCGGGACGGCGGCUUGGUCGCUUGCGUCCGACUGCUGAAACUUGAUUAAACCAUAUCAUUUAGAGGAAGGUGAAGUCGUAACA